UUUCAGAUGUCUAAUAUAGAUGGACGCUGGACUUGUUACCUUUGCCACCAUUGCCCUUCUUCAGCUAAUUAUCAAAGCUUAUCAAAACAAGAAGACAGUAAGAAAACGAUUGUUUUUGUGGAUACAGAUUACAGGUUGUAUCUGCGCUGUUGCCAUUGUCAUUUAGCCUUUCAUCCUCAGUGUGAAGUGUUUGAGCUAGAGCUUAUUCUUACUGGCGAAGUAAAAGAAAUUUUGUGCACACCUUGCGCAAGCAAAAAUGGCUGAUGAUAAUAGAGUCUAUGUACAGUUGGAAUCAAGUGGAGGUGGCCAGACUUUACUUUUGGUUGAUAGUGAUAUGGCUAAAACAAUUACAGAAUGAUGCAACUUUCCGUGAAAAUUUUCAAAGGUGCCUCCAAGGAUCAGAAGAAAAUAAAGCUGAAGACAAUUCAUGUAAAUCUGAAGAAAUAAUGAAAGAUGAUAACAAAGGAG